AAUGAACGUUGGCGGCGUGGAUUAGGCAUGCAAGUCGUGCGAGAAGUCAAUUAGCUUGCUAAGAGACGGACAGCGGCGAAAGGGAGAGUAACGCGUGGUUACGUACCCAGAGGACCAGGAUAGCGUUGGGAAACCGGCAGUAAUACUGGAUAAUAUCUUUGGAUCAAAUGGUGUGAUUCCGCCUGUGGAUCGGACCGCGUACUAUUAGCUAGUUGGUGGGGUAAUGGCCUACCAAGGCUGCGAUGGUUACCGGGUGUGAGAGCAUGGCCCGGCUCACUGGGACUGAGACACUGCCCAGACACCUACGGGUGGCUGCAGUCGAGAAUCUUCGGCAAUGGACGAAAGUCUGACCGAGCGACGCCGCGUGCGGGAUGAAGGCCCUCGGGUUGUAAACCGCUGUCAGUUGGGAGGAAAGGUCUGUGAAGAGCAGACCCUGACCGAUCUUCAGAGGAAGGACGGGCUAAGUUCGUGCCAGCCGCCGCCGUAACAC
rnacentral:rRNA from 1 species